rnacentral:rRNA from 1 species
CUGACCGAUAGUGAACCAGUACCGUGAGGGAAAGGCGAAAAGAACCCCGGCGAGGGGAGUGAAAAAGAACCUGAAACCGUGUACGUACAAGCAGUAGGAGCCCCACCACCAAAGCGUUUCGCUUUGCGUGGUGCGCAAAAUGCGUAACGACAGCAUGAUGGACGGUUAACGGAGCGUCAGCGACGUUCAACGUCAAAAAUCAGGCAGUGGAGCGUUUUGGGGUGGGGUGACUGCGUACCUUUUGUAUAAUGGGUCAGCGACUUAUAUUCUGUAGCAAGGUUAACCGAAUAGGGGAGCCGCAGGGAAACCGAGUCUUAACUGGGCGUUAAGUUGCAGGGUAUAGACCCGAAACCCGGUGAUCUAGCCAUGGGCAGGUUGAAGGUUGGGUAA